UACGUAGGGGGCAAGCGUUGUCCGGAUUCAUUGGGCGUAAAGAGCUCGUAGGCGGCUUGGCAAGUCGGGUGUGAAACCUCCAGGCUCAACCUGGAGACGCCACCCGAUACUGCCAUGGCUAGAGUCCGGUAGGGGACCACGGAAUUCCUGGUGUAGCAGUGAAAUGCGUAGAUAUCAGGAGGAAUACCGAUGGCGAAGGCAGGUCUCUGGGCUGACACUGACGCUCAUGCACGAAAGCGUGGGGAGCAAACAGG
rnacentral:rRNA from 1 species